GCUACUUCCUCAAAUCUAGUUGUUGAAAAACCAAUAUUCUUUUAGAUGUCUUCAUUUAUAAUUACUACUGUCAAAAUACAGCAGUUACAUUACAAUUAUAUAUCCUGAGUAACUUUUGUGGAGUUAUGGUUCAUGGAACAAGGGUAAGAUGAUGAUUUAGUGAAAACUCUAUAAAUAUUGCAGCUUCUGAUUGAGCAACCUAGAUAAAAAUAGAUGUACAACUAUGUAGUAUACUAUGGCACUCUCUUGAUCCUAAGUUACUCACUCUCUUUCAAUCCUGCAAAACAUAUUGCAAAGUAUGGGCCACAGCUAAAACAUUAUAAACAAAUGAUGUUCAACACAUCUAUAAAGUUAACAGUGUUUACUUGCAAUAGGAUCAUCAGGACAUGGCAUGGCACGCUACUUGGGUCAGGUAGAUACACUCAAAGACGAAUUCAAUUCCCUCAUGCCAUUCACAGAUAGCCUUACUAACACUUAUCAUUAAUUCUCUU
rnacentral:misc_RNA from 1 species